GUUGAAACUUAUUUAUUAUAUUUUUUUUGAGGAAAAAAAAAAACUGUUCAUAGCUGGAAGCCGACGGACGAUCCGGUGACUAAAUUCUAGUGAGAGAGAAAAAACCUGAAUUCUCUCCGAUACAGGGAGGGAGGAAGAGAGAGAGAGAGGAGAGGGAUUUGAAUUUCUCCCGUGUGUCCGCGAGGAUCAAUUUCUGGAGUGUUGUUCAUUCGUGUUCUUCGCGUUCUAGGUGAAUUUUCAGCCUUCCGUCACCUCAUUCAUUCUUUAAUCGGAGCAUUGCGUUGAAAUCGUAUCUGAUUCCGCCUUGUAUUCGUCGAAGCGUGAAUCAAUCUCGGCUGGUAUUCUGAGUUCAAAGAGCGUUGAAUUUGUUCGUAGAGUUUUAUUUUUCUUCUUGACCGAGGAAGCUUCAGGGUUUUUCUCGGUGGAUUGGAAAGGAAACGAGAGUUGAAAAGAUUUUCAUAGGAAUUGAGGAUUGUAUUGAUCAGUGGUUUUUGGCUCGAAUCCUGGUUGAAGAAUGAGCGCUGUCUCCGGUGUACUCUCGAGGCAAGUUUUGCCCGUGUGUGGUAGUCUUUGCGUAUUUUGUCCUGCGCUAAGAGCAAGGUCUAGACAGCCUGUGAAGAGGUACAAGAAGCUGAUUGCUGACAUUUUCCCUCGCA